rnacentral:lncRNA from 1 species
UGCAUGGAGGGGUGGAAAGUUGCUCCGAAAUUAAGAUCUCUCACAGAGCUGCGACAGCUGCCAGGCAAACACCUUUGCCCUGGUGAGAGGGAGGUAUCAGAGAUUAUUUUCCGAGGGGCAGGUCUACCCAAUUUCAGUCAAUUGCCCAGCUGCUAUAAUUCAGAUUAAUUCCAUUGCAGGUGACAAAAUUGCAGUCAUUUAAAUUACGCAGAGAUCUAGUCUAUCCUUUUUGCAUCUGUCCUCUUUAUGCCAAGCAAAUCUGGAAAAAAAAUAUUAAUAAAAUAUUAACUUGCUACAAAUUUGGGGCGAAUAAAGGGACAAUUUGAAGAUCAGUUGGGGGAUGGGGGGAACAACUGCUACAAUAUUCUUAAGAAAACCUAUAAUUUACUCUUUUUCUCUCCCUCCCCACAGGAAAGUGGUCAGAUAGAAGCACUUUUCUUAAUAAGUGAAUAUGCAUCCUCAUUCUUGCAUGUCUCAUGUUAAAACUUCUAGAAUUUCUUUAGCCAGUCUAGGCUUCAUAUUUAUGAGAUGCUUUGAUUUUUGCCUACCUGCUAAAAAGGAUUAGCUAUGUGACAGUGUGGGUUUUUUAAGCCAUGCCUACUUUUGCUUAUUCUAGUUGUACUGACCAGAUUGUAGUCUUGCAGCUUUACCCAGUGAUAUGUAAUUUCAGUCCAGAAUAAAAUACACGCUGGAGAAACCCAAAGAGAGGGGAUGUUAAAUGGUCAGGUAAAAAAAAUAUUACAAGUGACUUUGAGAUAUUAAUAUAUUAAUAUGGGAUGUGAUUCAGGGCUGUGUGCAAUGCUAUUUGGAGGGUGGGGGAAUUGUUGCACUUGGAUAAUUUUGUGGCACUAUUUUUAUGUGGCAUGUACAGUCUUUGCCUCAGAUUCCCAUUUUCUGCCUGGAUUCCCAUCUCAGUCCCAGAGUUAGGAAAAAUAUACUCUUUGGAUCUAAGUGCUUCUCUGACAUACUGCAAAGCAGGAUUGCAUUCUAGCCUUCUUUACAGUUCCCUCUUUGCCGAAAACAUUGAGGCAUUGAGACGCUGGAGCGUGUCCAGAGAAGAGCAUUGGAGCCCUUGAAGGGUCUAGAGAGCAUGGAUAAAUGAAAGAACUUGAAGCAGGGGGAUAUCCUCUAGAAGACAGAUAUACUUUUGGAAUAUAUCCUUCAAGAAACAACAAUUUAACUUGGUGCUUAGUCUCAUACUACAUUAUGUGGGAGUUUUGCAGAUUUGUGUUGUUGUGCCUGGAAAUAUUAACUACUCCAAUUACAAUAGGAUGUUAAGA